rnacentral:rRNA from 1 species
UACGUAGGUGGCAAGCGCUGUCCGGAUUUAUUGGGUUUAAAGGGUGCGUAGGCGGCCUUGUAAGUCAGUGCUGAAAUAUCCCGGCUUAACCGGGAGGGUGGCAUUGAUACUGCAGGGCUUGAGUACAGUUGAGGUUGGCGGAAUUGACGGUGUAGCGGUGAAAUGCUUAGAUAUCGUCAAGAACACCGAUAGUGAAGACAGCUAACUAAGCUUUAACUGACGCUGAGGCACGAAAGUGUGGGGAUCAAACAGG